rnacentral:rRNA from 1 species
UACAGAGGUCUCAAGCGUCGUUCGGAUUCAUUGGGCGUAAAGGGUGCGUAGGCGGCGCGGUAAGUCGGGUGUGAAAUCUCGGAGCUUAACUCCGAAACUGCAUUCGAUACUGCCGUGCUUGAGGACUGGAGAGGAGACUGGAAUUUACGGUGUAGCGGUGAAAUGCGUAGAUAUCGUAAGGAAGACCAGUGGCGAAGGCGGGUCUCUGGACAGUUCCUGACGCUGAGGCACGAAGGUCAGGGGAGCAAACGGG